rnacentral:lncRNA from 1 species
CAGGAAAUGCCAGCAGCCCACAGGUGCGGGGCGAGGCGGGGCCCCUCCCGUUCUCCGCACCCAGACGGAGCAGUCACAAGACGGACUAAGGAGCCGCAAGAGCGUUCCCUGAACCCUUCUCCACGGGGCCGUGAUUCUCGGCAACGAGCCUCCAACUGUGGCAACCCUCGGUGGGAGGCAGGAUUCCUCUCAGAGACAAGAUGCUGAAGAAGAUGCUGAGAGACGCCCUGGGGGACCUUCUCAGAAGAGAAAAGCAAGCCCCACUGGACCCUCCAGAAAGGCAGGAAUGAGGGGAAGGCAACGGUUAGCAGCCAACCACUGGGAAAACACCGUGCAGGGUGGGCC